rnacentral:rRNA from 1 species
AGAGUUUGAUCAUGGCUCAGAUUGAACGCUGGCGGCAGGCCUAACACAUGCAAGUCGAGCGGAUGAAGGGAGCUUGCUCCUGGAUUCAGCGGCGGACGGGUGAGUAAUGCCUAGGAAUCUGCCUGGUAGUGGGGGAUAACGUCCGGAAACGGGCGCUAAUACCGCAUACGUCCUGAGGGAGAAAGUGGGGGAUCUUCGGACCUCACGCUAUCAGAUGAGCCUAGGUCGGAUUAGCUAGUUGGUGGGGUAAAGGCCUACCAAGGCGACGAUCCGUAACUGGUCUGAGAGGAUGAUCAGUCACACUGGAACUGAGACACGGUCCAGACUCCUACGGGAGGCAGCAGUGGGGAAUAUUGGACAAUGGGCGAAAGCCUGAUCCAGCCAUGCCGCGUGUGUGAAGAAGGUCUUCGGAUUGUAAAGCACUUUAAGUUGGGAGGAAGGGCAGUAAGUUAAUACCUUGCUGUUUUGACGUUACCAACAGAAUAAGCACCGGCUAACUUCGUGCCAGCAGCCGCGGUAAUACGAAGGGUGCAAGCGUUAAUCGGAAUUACUGGGCGUAAAGCGCGCGUAGGUGGUUCAGCAAGUUGGAUGUGAAAUCCCCGGGCUCAACCUGGGAACUGCAUCCAAAACUACUGAGCUAGAGUACGGUAGAGGGUGGUGGAAUUUCCUGUGUAGCGGUGAAAUGCGUAGAUAUAGGAAGGAACACCAGUGGCGAAGGCGACCACCUGGACUGAUACUGACACUGAGGUGCGAAAGCGUGUGGAGCAAACAGGAUUAGAUACCCUGGUAGUCCACGCCGUAAACGAUGUCGACUAGCCGUUGGGAUCCUUGAGAUCUUAGUGGCGCAGCUAACGCGAUAAGUCGACCGCCUGGGGAGUACGGCCGCAAGGUUAAAACUCAAAUGAAUUGACGGGGGCCCGCACAAGCGGUGGAGCAUGUGGUUUAAUUCGAAGCAAUGCGAAGAACCUUACCUGGCCUUGACAUGCUGAGAACUUUCCAGAGAUGGAUUGGUGCCUUCGGGAACUCAGACACAGGUGCUGCAUGGCUGUCGUCAGCUCGUGUCGUGAGAUGUUGGGUUAAGUCCCGUAACGAGCGCAACCCUUGUCCUUAGUUACCAGCACCUCGGGUGGGCACUCUAAGGAGACUGCCGGUGACAAACCGGAGGAAGGUGGGGAUGACGUCAAGUCAUCAUGGCCCUUACGGCCAGGGCUACACACGUGCUACAAUGGUCGGUACAAAGGGUUGCCAAGCCGCGAGGUGGAGCUAAUCCCAUAAAACCGAUCGUAGUCCGGAUCGCAGUCUGCAACUCGACUGCGUGAAGUCGGAAUCGCUAGUAAUCGUGAAUCAGAAUGUCACGGUGAAUACGUUCCCGGGCCUUGUACACACCGCCCGUCACACCAUGGGAGUGGGUUGCUCCAGAAGUAGCUAGUCUAACCGCAAGGGGGACGGUUACCACGGAGUGAUUCAUGACUGGGGUGAAGUCGUAACAAGGUAGCCGUAGGGGAACCUGCGGCUG